rnacentral:lncRNA from 1 species
GAACUUCCAGAGAUUUCAAAUUGAGCUUGACCUCUGUCAGGUAUCACUUGCUUCCUGUUUGCUGCCAAAGUACAAUGAGGCUUGGAUCUGGGCCCCACCUUUUAGCGUUUAGGUCUAAAAAUGUAGCAAUGAACUUGUGACACAAAGGCCCCGUCUCCUGGAGAAGCAGAAUGUAGAUCUAGCAGCAAAGCACAAAUUCUGUCGAGUUUGAGGCAUAACUAAUUUUGAAAGUGCUGAGUCUCAGCUCCAUGGAUAAGUAUGUAAUGGUCCACAUCUAGUCUGUGCUCAAAUGCCGCCCAACUGACCUGAGGGUCUUCAGAAAGCUCUUGCUUUCAAAUGAGGAAAACUAUGGACUACAGUGGGGAACCUGAGUUGCAACGCACUACUCAUGAUUAGUGGGAGUUGGACCAGACGUAUUCUCAGUCUCUCAGCAACAGACUGACUAAUGCUGAGAACCAGAGUCUGUUUCAAACCUCAUCAUGCUCCAGGGAUCCACAAGAUGUUUGAGCAUGGGCACUCCUUUUCCAUGCACAGAAGUAGCUCUACAUUAAACAGCCUUCUGAAAAAGAGACCCUGGGUGAUUCCCUGCAUCAUUGUACGGGAGUCUGUGGGAGAUCGAGCGUUUCCAGCUUGGAGACACGAGGGUUGCUGUUAUGCGGCGAGGAUCACUGGAGCAGUGCUGCUGAAGGAUCGCACCACGAAAACCUGAGAGCCCUUACCUGUGAAAGAGGACAGACAAUCUCUUCUCCAAUCUGCCCCUUUCCAUGCUGUAGAUCCAUACGUCUGCCAUGGUAGCCGCCUGGCUAUAGGGAUUGUCUGCAGCCCUGCCACCAUGCUGGAAGAUCCUUGAGUAAGGCAGUCAUCGAGGGCGUGGGCUGGAUAGCAAAUAGGUUGCAUGGUAUGGCUGGACAGCAAAGAGGUUGUACAGUAUUAGAGGCAGAGCAGUGGUAGGGAUUUUCGAGUGGUGCCUGUUUGCAGUACAGCUGGUGCUAGUCAGCCUGGAUAUGUUCAUCACUUUCCAGGGCAGAUGUGAAAUCCUCCCAUCAAGUGCCUACUUCUUAGUGAGCUGUGAAUUACAGGUCUGAACAAAAGUCUUGCGAAGCCAGCAUUUGUGUGAAAGGUAAAAUAUGAAUAUCAGAGGGAAUUAUUUCCAGUGUGUCAAAAUUAGCUGAUUCCCAGUGAUUAUUUCUCAAAACAGCCUAGACCUUUUUCCUGUCAGUGUGGAUACCCCUGAACUUUUCAAUUGGUGGUGAUGUGGCUUGCCUCAGUAUAUCCUAGCAGCAAUGAGAGGGGUGUAGUUUAAGUAACAAAUCUUUUGACGUUCAGAUAUCCAUCCAGGCCACAAGGCCUUCCCAGACACUGUACAGACUCAUUAAAUAAAGAUGCCCUCUGUCCAGGAAAGUUCA